CUCCAGCAGACCCUCCCUCCCAGACCCUCCCACCUCCUGGACAGCAUCCAUGUUGAAGCUGCCUUCAACAUGGAUGCUGUCCAGGAGGUGGGAGGGUCUGGGAGGGAGGGUCUGCUGGAG